CGUCAUGUUUUGCCUGACAGCGUUCAGGCCCCUGAACGAGAUGGAGUUGGUGUAGAUACUCUGAUUGCGACGCCAGAGAUCUGAGUUUGAUUCCCGAUAAGCAUCACUUUCAGAAAGGCUACACCUACGCCAUUGACAACGAUGUAAAAACUCACAGGCAGCUGAAAAAUAAGCUAAAUAGUUUCGCAGAAAAAUUUCGUUUAAUGCAAGAAGGUCGUCUACUACAAAUGAAAGAGCCACGAGCAAAAUACAGCCACUCACAUGACGAGCGCCUUCUCACUAGCCAGAAAAACAUUAACAAGAGGCGUCACUAUGCUUUUCUGGAGCCUUGGCUGGGAAAUGGCUUGCUAUUGUCAUCAGGGGGAAAAGUGAAAAAAAGAAAGGCGUUUGAUCAGCCUUUCCCUUUCAGAUUCUUGGUGAUUUCUUUAAUGUCUUUAAUCGGAACGCUGCCAUCUUAAUAGAACAAAUCGUCAAUCAGGUGGUAGACAACAAGGAAA
rnacentral:lncRNA from 1 species